AGAGCCUUCCGUAAGCUGGAGUGCACAAUGAAAUUUCCUGUAUCGGGGAUUUCCCGGCGGGGAGAUUGGUGACAGGGGGUGCCUGAUUGUGGUCAGCUCGUGUCGUGGGAUGUUGGGUUAAGUCCCGCAACGAGCGCAACCCUUGUCUUUAGUUGCCAGCAUUAAGUUGGGCACUCUAGAGAGACUGCCAGGGAUAACCUGGAGGACGGUGGGGAUGACGUCAAAUCAUCAUGCCCCUUAUGCUUAGGGCUACACACGGGCUACAAUGGGUAGUACAGAGGGUUGCCACGCCGUAACGUGGAGCCAGUUCCUUUAAGCUCCUAUCAGUUGGGAUUGUAGGCUGAACCUCGCCUACACGAAGCAGGCGGUACUGGUAAUAGUCGUACAGAAUGCCG
rnacentral:rRNA from 1 species